ensembl:misc_RNA 7SK 7SK RNA
AGCCACGAGUGUGAGGCUGCGGCAUCUGUCACCCCACUGAUCGCCAGGGUUGAUUUGGCUGAUCUGGCCGGCUAGGCGGGUGUCCCCUUCCUCCCUCACCGCUCCAUGUGCAUCCCUCCAGAAACUGCACACUCGAUCAGAGGUCGGCCUUCCCUGAAUAGAGAUGGACCAGUCUUAUCGAGGGUAUAUGAGUAGCUGCGCUCCCCUGCUAGAACCUCCAAACUAGCUUCAGUUUUAGCCACAGAAGAAAGGAAGGAAUAACUUGUCAAGACUCUGCCUUGGAAGACAGUCUGCUACU